rnacentral:rRNA from 1 species
UACGAAGGGGGCUAGCGUUGCUCGGAAUUACUGGGCGUAAAGCGCGCGUAGGCGGGUCGUUAAGUCGGGGGUGAAAUCCUGGAGCUCAACUCCAGAACUGCCUUCGAUACUGGCGAUCUUGAGUCCGGGAGAGGUGAGUGGAACUCCGAGUGUAGAGGUGAAAUUCGUAGAUAUUCGCAAGAACACCAGUGGCGAAGGCGGCUCACUGGCCCGGUACUGACGCUGAGGUGCGAAAGCGUGGGGAGCAAACAGG